rnacentral:rRNA from 1 species
UACGCUGGCGGCACGCCUAACACAUGCAAGUCGAACGAAGUAGCAAUACUUAGUGGCAGACGGGUGAGUAACAUGUGGGUAUCUACCCUUUGGCCUGGAAUAACACGAGGAAACUUGUGCUAAUACCGGAUAAGUCUUUACGGAGAAAGCUUUAUGCACCAUUGGAUGAGCCCGCACUUGAUUAGUUUGUUGGUAGGGUAAUGGCCUACCAAGACUAUGAUCAAUAGCUGAUUUGAGAGGAUGAUCAGCCACAUUGGGACUGAGACACGGCCCAAACUCCUACGGGAGGCAGCAGUGGGGAAUCUUGCACAAUGGAGGAAACUCUGAUGCAGCGAUGCCGCGUGAGUGAAGAAGGCCUUUGGGUUGUAAAGCUCUUUCGUCGGGGAAGAAAAUGACUGUACCCGAAUAAGAAGGUCCG